CCUACGGGAGGCAGCAGUGGGGAAUAUUGCGCAAUGGGCGAAAGCCUGACGCAGCGACGCCGCGUGAGGGAUGAAAGUCUUCGGAUCGUAAACCUCUGUCAGCAGGGAAGAACGGUCACUGUGCUAAUCAGCAGUGAAUUGACGGUACCUGCAAAGGAAGCACCGGCUAACUCCGUGCCAGCAGCCGCGGUGAUACGGAGGGUGCGAGCGUUAAUCGGAAUUACUGGGCGUAAAGCGCUCGUAGGCGGUAUGUCAAGUCAAGGGUGAAAUCCCCGCGCUCAACGUGGGAACUGCCUUUGAAACUGGCAAACUGGAGUGUGUGAGAGGAUAGUGGAAGUCCAGGUGUAGGAGUGAAAUGCGUAGAUAUCUGGAGGAACAUCAGUGGCGAAGGCGACUAUCUGGCACAUAACUGACGCUGAGGAGCGAAAGCGUGGGUAGCAAACAGGAUUAGAUACCCCUGUAGUC
rnacentral:rRNA from 1 species